rnacentral:rRNA from 1 species
UACGUAGGGCAAGCGUUAUCCGGAAUUACUGGGUGUAAAGGGUACGUAGGCGGCCAUUAAGUCAGAUGUGAAAGCCCGGAGCUCAACUCCGGGAUUGCAUUUGAAACUGGUGGGCUAGAGUACAGGAGAGGAAAGUGGAAUUCCUAGUGUAGCGGUGAAAUGCGUAGAUAUUAGGAAGAACACCAGUGGCGAAGGCGGCUUUCUGGACUGUAACUGACGCUGAGGUACGAAAGCGUGGGGAGCAAACAGG